UACGUAGGGUGCAAGCGUUGUCCGGAAUUAUUGGGCGUAAAGAGCUCGUAGGCGGUUUGUUGCGUCGGCUGUGAAAUCCCGAGGCUCAACCUCGGGUCUGCAGUCGAUACGAGCAAACUAGAGUGUUGCAGGGGAGACUGGAAUUCCUGGUGUAGCGGUGAAAUGCGCAGAUAUCAGGAGGAACACCGGUGGCGAAGGCGGGUCUCUGGGCAUGUCCUGACGCUGAGGAGCGAAAGUGUGGGGAGCGAACAGG
rnacentral:rRNA from 1 species